AGUUUAGGCUAUAAAUUUUUGACUCGCCACUUAAACUAUGUUAACUUUGUCUUUGUCACCCAGAUACUAGAGGCUGCAUGGCCCAGAGUGUUUCCCCCACCACCAGUGUACUGAGUGCAGAUACUAAAGAUUACGUGUUCCUGAGAGUGUUUCUCCCACCACCAGUGUAAGGAGUUGGAAAGAAGCCUGCCCACUCAUUGAGGCCCGAAAGUCAUAUUGUAGCGUUGGAACCAAUAUGGCUGAAUAUCUCUGCCAGGCGACCAAAAGAACAAGAGACCCAAACCCUUCGUUCUGACUCUCGGGGACAAUCGCCUCUACUCCCUGGCAUUCACCAUCAGGCUCUGGAGCAGAAGACAGUUUCAUUUAUUUUAUUUUAUUUUUUUAACAAAAUGUCAUAUUAAUUUGUUUACUUUUCUUCAGCCCCAUUCCUCAGCUUUAACUGGUAGGGCUGCUGUGAUUUUCAAAUUAUGGAUUGUGCUUCUAAAGUUUGUUUGUGUGUUCCUUAUUUGUUAUAUUUUGCGUGACUUCAUUUUGUAGCUGAAAUUAAUAUCAGAAAAAAUCUACAAUUAUCUACAAUUUGUCAUAUGUCAUUUUAA